CUAUUUGUAGCUCAUCUUAUUAAUUGUACUGUAACGUUUGAUGAUCGUAAGUUAGUUUUAUGCCACAACGACACUAUAAAAGGAAUUCUCAAUUUACAAGUGGGAAGUGCACACUCUCAACCAGAGGAACGAAAAAAAAUCGUAUAUUGACUAUGUCAAAAUAAACCAACUGGGUACAUAUAAUGAGUCAUAAAAGGCAGCAAACAUCGCGUCGCAAUGUUGCAAGGCUUAUGUACAUACAAAUUCGUUAACUACGAUAGGAAUUCAUGGCAUUGGAACACAAUCAAUAAUUGUAAAUCCGGCAAUCAUAAAAACCU